rnacentral:rRNA from 1 species
GAUGAACGCUGGCGGCGUGCCUAAUACAUGCAAGUCGAGCGAACAGACGAGGAGCUUGCUCCUUUGACGUUAGCGGCGGACGGGGGAGUAACACGUGUAUAACCUACCUAUAAGACUGGGAUAACUUCGGGAAACCGGAGCUAAUACCGGAUAAUAUAUUGAACCGCAUGGUGCAAUAGUGAAAGACGGCUUUUCUGUCUCUUAUAGAUGGUUCCGCGCGGGAUUAGAUAGUUGGUAAGGUAACGGCUUACCAAGGCGACGAUGCGUAGCCGACCUGAGAGGGUGAUCGGCCACACUGGAACUGAGACACGGUCCAGACUCCUACGGGAGGCAGCAGUAGGGAAUCUUCCGCAAUGGGCGAAAGCCUGACGGAGCAACGCCGCGUGAGUGAUGAAGGUCUUCGGAUCGUAAAACUCUGUUAUUAGGGAAGAACAAAUGUGUAAGUAAAUAUGCACGUAUUGACGGUACCUAAUCAGAAAGCCACGGCUAACUACGUG